ACUACCUAUGCUAAAGUAUGUCGCUAAACAGAACGCCAGAAUUGCCAUAGGAAAGUACACAUUAAAUCCAUCGGAUAUUAUGGAAAUAACAUCCAUGUGACCCAUAACCUGACAAAAAAGGAAACAAUAAAAAAAAACAAUAGAUAUGAGUUUUGAUGAUGUGGGAAUCCAUAUGAAUAAGUCCUAGGAAAUUGAGACACAUGGGCGGAGUUAAGCGACACAGCAUCAUACCGCUGAAUAUCAGACUAUACUCGUUCGUUUGAUGAUGAGGUGCCAAAUAAUAGAGAUUUAAUACUCGUAUCUUCAAGACGGUUGAAUAAGCGCAAUAGCAAAGGUAUGCGAUGAUCAAUGUGGACAGUAUCUGAAAACCGAGCAUAGACAUGAUAAAUAAAUGAUAAAUAUAUAUUGUGCGAAAUAACAUCAAUCUUUACCUCUAUUGUACAAUAAUCAUAAUUUCUUUUUGCUAAAUUCAGAAAUUGAGCGAAUAAAGACAAGACAGGAGACUUGUUGAAGAACGUUACUUCUGACCAUACCACAGCCACUGAUAAGCAGCCGGCGCAAAUAGCAGCUACUUUUAAAACAUAAUUCUUCACGAUACAUUUCCAGUACCAUUCUGAAAUUUAUAAGUUAUAAAAUUACAAAAUCAAAAAAGAGUUAUAAAAAUUAAAUGAUUGAGCGAAUGUUACAAGAUGAUAUAACACAUCAGAAUAAAAUGCGAAACAUGACGUUACUUACCGA